rnacentral:lncRNA from 1 species
CGAAACUGAGCUGUACCAAGAUGCUGAUGAGGGGCUGCAGCAUGCAAUUCACUUCACCAGCAGUCAAUAAGAGGAAAGGCCAUGUGAAGAUAGAGAAAAGGCUGCCAUCUCCAGGUCAGGAAGAGAGGCCUCACCAGAAACCAACUUGGACUUCUAGCAUCUAGAACUGUGAGAAAAUAGAUUUCUGUUGCUUAAGCCACCUAGUCUGUGAUUUUUCAUUAUGGCAGCCAAUGUAGACUAAUACAA